rnacentral:piRNA from 1 species
UGCCAAUAAGACAUGAAAUCUCAGCCCUGU